AGCCUGAGUGAUCCUGGGCAGAGUCAUUUUCUCUGAACAUCAUCAGUUUGAAAGAACCACAAACAAGGACAUGGUAUCUUGUGUUCUUGGCAAAGCUGAGUCCUGACUUGUCUCCAGUGGCUGUUCUCUGGAAGUGAGCCUGAAGGGCGUCAAUGGAGCAGAAUUAUCUCAGUAAAAGAUUGAAUAUAGAAGAGAAGGAGAAAGAGGAGGAAGAGAAGGAGGAACAGAAGAGGAGAAGGAGGCAGAAGUAAAAGGAAGGAGGAAGAUGAAACAGAAAGAGGAAGAGGAGCAGUUGAAGCAGAGUCUCACUUUGUUGCCCAGGCUGGAGUGCUGUGGCUUCAGCCUACUUCACAGCUUGAACUCCUGGGUUCAAGCAAUCCUCCUGCCUCAGCUUCCGAAGUAGCUGAGACUACAAGUGUCUACCACAAUGUCCGGCUAAUCGUUCUAUUUUUUAGUUGAGAUCACGUCUCCCUCUUGCUCUGGCUGGUCUCACCUGAGCUCAAG